rnacentral:rRNA from 1 species
AUCCCAGACUCCUACGGGAGGCAGCAGUGGGGAAUAUUGCACAAUGGGGGAAACCCUGAUGCAGCGACGCCGCGUGAGCGAUGAAGUAUUUCGGUAUGUAAAGCUCUAUCAGCAGGGAAGAAGAUGACGGUACCUGACUAAGAAGCCCUGGCUAACUACGUGCCAGCAGCCGCGGGAAUACGUAGGGGGCAAGCGUUAUCCGGAUUUACUGGGUGUAAAGGGAGCGUAGACGGCGAUGCAAGCCAGAUGUGAAAGCCCGGGGCUCAACCCCGGGACUGCAUUUGGAACUGUGUGGCUGGAGUGUCGGAGAGGCAGGCGGAAUUCCUGGUGUAGCGGUGAAAUGCGUAGAUAUCAGGAGGAACACCGGUGGCGAAGGCGGCCUGCUGGACUGCAACUGACGUUGAGGCCCGAAAGCGUGGGGAGCAAACAGGAUUAGAUACCCCUGUAU